rnacentral:lncRNA from 1 species
GAUUCUUCCAUCAAGGCUGGAACACAGGAGCAAAUAGCUUGAACAUACAAGGAUUAUAUUGUUCCUUCUCUUAAAGUUACCUCUGUCAUGCGCGUCCGUGUGAAGAUACCACCAAACAGGCUUUGUAUCUUCAGUUGCUUCAGGCCAUCUGGAUGUAUACGUCAGGUCACAGGGGAUAUGAUGGCUUAGCUUGGGCUCAGAGGCCUGACAACCUCCAGAUUCAGAGUUCUUAACCUCUUUUUCCUGGAAGUUUGCUGAGGAGCCAGAUGCCUUGUGCUGACUUGUCUAUUUUGAAAGAGGCUGCAGAAACACUCGAUUCCACCUCAACCCGGAAUUCAGCUUUCUUAGGAAAGGAAAUAACCCCCGAAGCCUUUGCAACUAAGGACAUGUAUCCUUCAGACAAGUGUUUACUGGGCAACUUCUUCGUGCUGUAAUUGAGUGUGGCCGAUUGCUCACAAAGAUGUUUGCAAAAUCCCUCCUGUCCCCUAACUCACUUCUCCUUGCAGUGUCACUCUGCCAACUUCUCCUGUCGAUUGGUGAAGACUGUUUCUCCUCCCCCUUGAAUAUGGGCUGGGCUUGUAACUUGCUUGACCAAUAGAAUGCAGAGAAAUGAAAUGCAGCCUUCAACAUUCAAGGCUAUGCUCAAGGAGUCUAACCCUGUGGAUAUGCUGUUGUCAAAUGAGGGAGCUUCGAUUAGCCUGUUGAAGACACACAGACGACCCGACAGGCAAUACCAACAUUCAGAUAUGCAAGUUAUGCUGUCUUAGACCAUGCUGCCCAGGUGAACUUUUAGACGACUGCAAUUUGUGAGUGACUCUAGGCAAGACCAGAAGAAACUUCUAGCUAAAUCUAAACCAAAUGCCAACUCAGAAUUGUAAGCAAAUAAAACGGUUGUUGUUUAAAGACACUAACUUUUGGGGUGUUUUGCCACACCUCAAUACAUAACUGUUACACUAAUUAUUUUUCAUUGUGAAAUCUUCAGCGUCUUAUUCUGUAAUCAAACCAGAAUGUCCUUGCCUUCUUAGCACUUUGCCACAGUCCAGUGGGGUGAAUAGACAGCAGCUGCUCAUUUAUGCUCAUGCUCAUGUUCAUAAUUUGCAUUUGGACUAAAAGGAGCUCUGUUCUCCAGGACAGAACUAUUCUAAAGCUCUUCAGGAACAGGAACAGGAGUCCAUCACAGACAGCGAAAUCAAAAGCGCCCUACAUAGAGGCAUCCAGACUGAGAGCUGAAAGGGAUCUGGGAAAUCAUUUAGUCUCACUCCCUCAUUUUCCAUUCAGACCACAGGGAUGAAAGAACUUGCUGAAGUUCUCACAGCUCUGUAGUGGCACAGUCAGAACAAGGAUCCCAAUCUCCUAACUACUAACAUAAAAUGCUUUCAGCAUGCAAGUUGAGCAUACAAUGGGACAGUUUAAAUUUAAAUGGUGUUUUGAGCAAGGGGAGAGUCUAAUUAAUUACUUCAAAGUAUAAUUUUGGAGUCACCAGAAAGGCGUUAAAGACAAAAAAAUGCUUUGGAACCUAGGUGCUUCAUAUCUGAAAUUGGGGCAGGUACAGGUGUAUUCCUACCACUAAAGGGUCAUUAGUUGGUUGGGUAGUCCUUUAGUGUUCUUGGUACUAAGCACAAAACAUGGGUAAGAUGGUUCAAGGCUGGUUGUGGUGGCUCAUGCCUAUAGCCCCAGCAUUUUAGGAGGCCAAGGCUGGAGGAUAGCUUGAGCCCAGGAAUUCGAGACAAGCCUGGGCAAUAUCGCAAGACCUUGUCUCUACAAAUAAUAAUUUCUUAAGAAUUGGCUGGGCAUGGUGGCACACACCUGUAGGCUAUUUGAGAGGUUGAGGUGGGAGGAUUGCUUUAGUGUGGGAGGCUGAGGCUGCAAUGAGGUGAUCACACUAUGGUACUACAGCCUGAGAAACAGUGUAAGAUCCUGCCUCAAAAAAAAAAAGUUUAUGUUCUCAAAGUGCUCAUAAUCUAGUGGUAGUACAGUAUUUGAGAUAUUAGAGCAGUUUCUCCUCCUUUUGCAACUAAGGACAUGUAUCUUUAAAGCAGAAGGAAUGGCAGAGUCGUGUAAUAAACCCUCAAGUACCAUUACUUAGCUUCAACAACUAUCGACACUCUACUGUUCUUGUUUCAUUUAUGCCUCACCUCCUUCCCAUCCCCCACUUGAAUAUUCUCAUCCUUUUUUUUUACAGUUUUUAAGAUAACAAUUACAUAACUGAAAUGCACAAAUCUUAGCUGUACAGUUUUGACAUAUGGAUACACCUGUGUAACCAAUGACUGUAUCACAACAUAGAGCAUUUCAUCUCCCCAGCAAGAUCCAUGUGUCUUUUCCUAGUUAAUGCCUCUUUAUUUCUGAGAUGGUUAUUGCUCUGCUUUUGUUUUUCAUGUUAGGCUAGUCUUGCCUGUUCUAGAAUUUCAUAUAACUGAGAACAUACAGAAUGUACUCACUAGUAGUGUCUGACUUUUUCACAAAGGAUAAUGUCUGUGGUAUUCAUUCAUGCUGUUGUAUGCAUCAGUAGUUUAUUUUCUUUUUACUAUUAAGUAGUGUUCUAAGGACUAUUUUAAUAGCAUCCCACAAAGGGGGUAUGAUAUGUUCUAUUUACAUUAUUAUUUGGUUUGUAAUAUUUUAUAUUUUCUCUUGUGAUUUCUCCUUUCACUCAUGAAUUAUUAUAAUAAAUUUUUUAAAGUGUAUUAUAA